UUACGGUCAAAUCACGCUGAGACACCCCGUUCUCGUCUGAUCACCGAAGUUAAGCAGCGUGAGCCAGGUCAGUACUUAGAUGGGGGACCGCGGGAACACCUGGUGCUGUAAG